rnacentral:rRNA from 1 species
GAUGAACGCUAGCUACAGGCUUAACACAUGCAAGUCGAGGGGUAGCAGGGUAGCAAUACCGCUGACGACCGGCGCACGGGUGAGUAACACGUAUCCAACCUACCCAUUACUCGGGGAUAGCCUUUCGAAAGAAAGAUUAAUACCCGAUAGUACUUUUUCGAGGCAUCUCGUAAAAAGUUAAAGAUUUAUUGGUAAUGGAUGGGGAUGCGUUCCAUUAGAUUGUUGGUGAGGUAACGGCGCACCAAGUCUUCGAUGGAUAGGGGUUCUGAGAGGAAGGUCCCCCACAUUGGUACUGAGACACGGACCAAACUCCUACGGGAGGCAGCAGUGAGGAAUAUUGGUCAAUGGGCGAGAGCCUGAACCAGCCAAGUAGCGUGAAGGAUGAAGGUCCUAUGGAUUGUAAACUUCUUUUAUAGUAGAAUAAAGUGAGCCACGUGUGGUUUUUUGUAUGUAUACUAUGAAUAAGGAUCGGCUAACUCCGUGCCAGCAGCCGCGGUAA